rnacentral:rRNA from 1 species
UACGGAGGGGGCUAGCGUUGUUCGGAAUUACUGGGCGUAAAGCGCGCGUAGGCGGACCUGCAAGUCGGGGGUGAAAGCCCGAGGCUCAACCUCGGAACUGCCUUCGAUACUGCGGGUCUCGAGUCCGGGAGAGGUGAGUGGAAUUCCUAGUGUAGAGGUGAAAUUCGUAGAUAUUAGGAAGAACACCAGUGGCGAAGGCGGCUCACUGGCCCGGUACUGACGCUCAUGUGCGAAAGCGUGAGGAGCAAACAGG